AACGCAGUUUUAACUCCUUUUUUCUGGUAGAAAGGAGUUUGUGCGUGAAUCUAAUUGGGUUUU
rnacentral:sRNA from 1 species